UAAAAUAAAUAGUGUUGGUAGUGAGGAUAUAGAUGUUUGGGUAGACCGCAAACAGAAUUUGUUUACUUGAGCCUGGAUCACCACCAGUCACUUGAAACUGAAAAAUGUUAUUUCCCUUUAAUUACUUAAUGAAGACAGAAUGUCUGGACCAGUAAUGACCUCCUAAGAUACCGACACUCUGUGAGGUACUAUCUGAAGCAAACAGGCCUUCUUGGGCAUCUCUUUGGCCACAAUAUGGCACCAUACCAGGACUCUGAGGAAGCAGAGGUUCCACAUGGUUUGUUGAAGAUUCGAGGGGAAAACAACAUCUGAACUGAAAAUGCUUAACUCAGAGCUCUCCUCAAAUAGUAAAUACUAUUUCAGGAACUGUUGAUAAGCUUUGGCAAGACGCUGCCCUCAGAAAGAGCCAUGGCAGCUGAGAAAUAGAAAAAGGUUGCCCAGCAUCGAAUUCUUCAAUAUGCUCCAAAUCAGAAGUACACAAUGUCGUAUCAGUCACUGAAAAUGAAAUCUACAAGGUCAGUUUUCCCUGCAUACGGUUUGGCUCUGCUUUCACUUUAACCUAGAUUCCAUCUUUGAGGCUGGAGGUACUGUGUUAAGAUAUAAGUAAACCGGCAGAAGACAAGAAGUCCUUCAACAAGUGUUCUUUAUUACAGUAAAAACCAUCCCAGACAACCCCACCCUAAAAUCACACAUUCGUAUGUCAAAGAGAACUAACAUUAACAGGAACUUGAAAGGAGCGA